rnacentral:rRNA from 1 species
UACGUAGGGCGCGAGCGUUGUCCGGAAUUAUUGGGCGUAAAGAGCUCGUAGGCGGCCUGUUGCGUCUGCUGUGAAAUCCCGGGGCUUAACCCCGGGCGUGCAGUGGAUACGGGCAGGCUGGAGGCAGGCAGGGGAGAAUGGAAUUCCCGGUGUAGCGGUGAAAUGCGCAGAUAUCAGGAGGAACACCAAUGGCGAAGGCAGCUCGCUGGGACGGUACUGACGCUGAGACGCGAAAGCGUGGGGAGCAAACAGG